rnacentral:rRNA from 1 species
GAUGAACGCUGGCGGCGUGCUUAACACAUGCAAGUCGAACGGAAAGGCUCCUGCUUGCAGGGGUACUCGAGUGGCGAACGGGUGAGUAACACGUGGGUGAUCUGCCCUGCACUUCGGGAUAAGCCUGGGAAACUGGGUCUAAUACCGGAUAGGACGAUGGUUUGGAUGCCAUUGUGGAAAGUUUUUCGGUGUGGGAUGAGCUCGCGGCCUAUCAGCUUGUUGGUGGGGUAAUGGCCUACCAAGGCGUCGACGGGUAGCCGGCCUGAGAGGGUGUACGGCCACAUUGGGACUGAGAUACGGCCCAGACUCCAACGGGAGGCAGCAGUGGGGAAUAUUGCACAAUGGGCGCAAGCCUGAUGCAGCGACGCCGCGUGGGGGAUGACGGCCUUCGGGUUGUAAACUCCUUUCGCUAGGGACGAAGCGCAAGUGACGGUACCUGGAGAAGAAGCACCGGCUAACUACGUG